rnacentral:piRNA from 1 species
UGAUAGUCAGGGGACUGGCAUUCAGUGAGG